ACCAGCGGAGGGAUCAUUACUGAGUUUUUUCAGCUCUACAAACCAUUUGUGAACUUACCUUUUCUGUACUGCUUUGGCAGAUUGUCAUCUGUUUUUGAUGUUCUGCCGGUAGUAUUUCCAAACUCUUUUUUUUUUUUUUCUAGAGAAUUUAUUCAUUGCUGAGUUGCAUUUAACAAAUAAGUUAAAAACUUUCAACAACGGAUCUCUUGGCUCUAGCAUCGAUGAAGAACGCAGCGAAAUGCGAUAAGUAAUGUGAAUUGCAGAAUUCAGUGAAUCAUCGAAUCUUUGAACGCACAUUGCGCCUAGCAGUAUUCUGCUAGGCAUGCCUGUCCGAGCGUCAUUUCACCCCUCAAGCUUCGCUUGGUGUUGGAGGACCCGCUGUCACAAGCGGGCCUGCUGAAAUGCAUCGGCUGUAGUACAAGCAGCUUCCCUGCGUAGUAAAGCACUUUGUGUUACGCUUUGAACCUCUUGUAUCACAUGCCGUAAAACAACCCUCUUUUUUCAAAGG
rnacentral:rRNA from 1 species